CUGGCGGCGUGCUUAACACAUGCAAGUCGAACGCGAAAGGGACUUCGGUCCUGAGUAGAGUGGCGCACGGGUGAGUAACGCGUAAGUGAUCUACCCCUGUAUUUGGGAUAACUAUGGGAAACUGUAGCUAAUACUGGAUACGUUCAUAUAGUUGCGAUUAUGUGAAGAAAGAUGGCCUCUGAUUCAAGCUAUUGUACAGGGAGGAGCUUGCGUACCAUUAGCUAGUUGGUAGGGUAAUGGCCUACCAAGGCAACGAUGGUUAGCGGGUCUGAGAGGAUGAUCCGCCACACUGGAACUGAAACACGGACCAGACUCCUACGGGAGGCAGCAGUGAGGAAUAUUGCGCAAUGGGGGCAACCCUGACGCAGCGACGCCGCGUGGAUGAUGAAGGCCUUCGGGUCGUAAAAUCCUGUCAGAUGGGAAGAAGUGCAUGGUGGUUAAUACCCAUCAUGUUUGACGGUACCAUCAGAGGAAGCACCGGCUAACUCCGUGCCAGCAGCCGCGGUAAUACGGAGGGUGCAAGCGUUGUUCGGAAUUACUGGGCGUAAAGCGCGCGUAGGCGGUUUGUUAAGUCAGAUGUGAAAGCCCAGGGCUUAACCUUGGACGUGCAUUUGAAACUGGCAGACUUGAGUAUUGGAGGGGGUGGUGGAAAUCCCGGUGUAGAGGUGAAAUUCGUAGAUAUCGGGAGGAAUACCGGUGGCGAAGGCGACCACCUGGCCAAAUACUGACGCUGAGGUGCGAAAGCGUGGGGAGCAAACAGGAUUAGAUACCCUGGUAGUC
rnacentral:rRNA from 1 species